GCAGCACGCGCCUAACGG
rnacentral:snRNA from 1 species